rnacentral:rRNA from 1 species
GACGAACGCUGGCGGCGUGCCUAAUACAUGCAAGUCGAGCGAGCUUGCCUAGAUGAAUUUGGUGCUUGCACCAAAUGAAACUAGAUACAAGCGAGCGGCGGACGGGUGAGUAACACGUGGGUAACCUGCCCAAGAGACUGGGAUAACACCUGGAAACAGAUGCUAAUACCGGAUAACAACACUAGACGCAUGUCUAGAGUUUAAAAGAUGGUUCUGCUAUCACUCUUGGAUGGACCUGCGGUGCAUUAGCUAGUUGGUAAGGUAACGGCUUACCAAGGCAAUGAUGCAUAGCCGAGUUGAGAGACUGAUCGGCCACAUUGGGACUGAGACACGGCCCAAACUCCUACGGGAGGCAGCAGUAGGGAAUCUUCCACAAUGGACGCAAGUCUGAUGGAGCAACGCCGCGUGAGUGAAGAAGGGUUUCGGCUCGUAAAGCUCUGUUGGUAGUGAAGAAAGAUAGAGGUAGUAACUGGCCUUUAUUUGACGGUAAUUACUUAGAAAGUCACGGCUAACUACGUGCCAGCAGCCGCGGUAAUACGUAGGUGGCAAGCGUUGUCCGGAUUUAUUGGGCGUAAAGCGAGUGCAGGCGGUUCAAUAAGUCUGAUGUGAAAGCCUUCGGCUCAACCGGAGAAUUGCAUCAGAAACUGUUGAACUUGAGUGCAGAAGAGGAGAGUGGAACUCCAUGUGUAGCGGUGGAAUGCGUAGAUAUAUGGAAGAACACCAGUGGCGAAGGCGGCUCUCUGGUCU